CAGAACAGAAAGAAUGAUGACAGAUACAUUCAAAGAAACUUUUUAGAGAAUCCUGGUCAUCACUAAAGGUUGGAGAAGGAAAAUAGAUGUGCUCAAGUCAGAAGGUCACUCUUGACAUCAUGGGACUAGAAUGGAGUCUACUAGUCUUUGUGUGAUGUUCAGAGAGGCAGAAGAAAUUGACCAGAGAAGAUGAGGGAGCCAAGUAGACACAUAGACAUAGCAAACUGAAGAUGUGUAUUACCUAUGGUGCAGAUCUGUAAAAAUUAACAAACAGCA